AAAAAUUAAACACAAAACUCUAACCCUAACUUUCCCAUCUCCUUCAGCCGCCAUACCCCUUUCCCCUUUCUUCCAAAAUCAAACUCACCCACACAACACAUAACAACAGCAAACAAUCAACAGAAAGAAAGAAAAGAGAAGAGAGGGUGCGAAUCAGAAGAGGGGAGAAGGGGGAAGAGUGCGCCGGCGAGUCACUGCCGCUCGUCGCGCCGCCGUCGUCGCCGAUGGUGGAGGAACGAAGAGAGUGUGUCGCGGAGCAAGGAAAGCUCGUGCGAGUGAGGAGCGGCGCCACUACCGUCGCGCCGUGCAUCGCCAACUUCGUUACACCUCGUUAUCACCAUCGCUGUCAGACCACCGUGGAGUCGUUGCCAUCGCACCGGCGCUGCGCGCGAGCUGCUAUCAAGCCACGAGCAACCCGAUGCGAAGAGAGAGCGACAGAGCAACGCGAGGAGAGAGAGAAGGCAUUGCAGAGUAGUUUCUGCCGCUACUGCUCUCUCUGCCAUCACCGUUUGUGGAGCUCGCCGCUGCCGGAGUCACGAGCUGAAGUGGGGAAGGAGGCCAUCUUCCCUAUGGUGUUGCAGUCACCAGUCACCGUGCUAUUACUGCUACGCUUCGUUUUCUUUUUCCUUAAUUGUUGUAAGUUAUUAUCUUGUUAUUAUCUUGUUAUUUGUAAAUUAAGAACUUUAAGGCGUUGAUGUUUUAGGAUUAAGCUGUUGCAGACGUGGGUUGUGAUGGUUGAUAUUUUUUUUAAGAAUCGUUGCUGCUGGGGUAACUGAGAUUGCUACUGCUAGUUCUAAUCUUGCUACUGUUGCUGUUGAUUUGCCCCAAUUCAAGUUCAGUGUCAUUGCCCUAGAGUUGUUUCUGCGUUUAAUUUCAUCAAAUUCAAUAUUGCUGUGAGUGUAAUUGUAGUUGGUAAUGCCGCCAUCAUAUCUCAACUUGGCCAACAUCAUCCUCAUUGUUCUGAUCCCAAUUUCCCCAAUUUUAAAACCGGACUGUUGAAGCUACGACUGGUUAUGUAGUAGCUUGUUGCUACCACCAAUGCUGAUUUAUGGUAGAAUGAUGAGGCUGCGAUGUUGAGGGUGCAGUCCAGCCUACUACAAAAUUCUGCCUUUGGUUUCUUUUAAUUGCGACAUUGAGAUACGAGGUUCCCUGGAUAAAGUGUCGUGGCUUGCCACUACGUGUACCAAGUUGAAAACUCGAUACUCUGUUGACCCUACGACGUAAGUGUGACUGGGCACUAUAUAAAUUCCCGGGAAUGUUACCCCCAUUGAGCAAUAUUGAUUAUUUGAGAAAAAGCUAUGCAUAGACUCUUGGGGAUGCACGUCGGAGGACAGUCUAAGGACAAUUCAAACUUGUCGGGUUGGAUGGAUAACCGAUAGAUGAGCCUCAUCAACCAUAGGACAGAAAUCGGUGGAAGGAGUAUAGUGAAGAGUUAUAUUGCGUUUUUGGUUUAUAUGAUAUUGUAUUGAUUAGAUAAUUUUUUCUUCCCUCGUCUCUGUUAUUACAAUCUUGUAAGAGGGACAUGAGUUGUUUGUUUUAUAUGUAUAUUACAUUAUAAGCUAUUAUGUAAGAAGUCUAUUUUAUGUGAA